CUGGGUUAUAAAAGCGCAAAUUUUGGCUAUUUUUCUUCAGUUUGUUUCUGUUGAACGUAACAAUGAAUUUUUCGUUUAUCCUUUUCUUCUGCCUUAUCGUGAUCUUGGCUCUCACCGUCCCAAGUGAAGCUACCUUCGCGGAUUUUGUCAAGAAAAUUGGGGUAGCCAUUGUGAAACUUAUCAACGGAAUCAAAUAUGGAUUUUCGAACAUUUGAAGUCGCCUUUCCUUCCUAUUUGGGAAAUGUGUUUUAAAUAAAACGAAUUUGCUUGAGAAA